CGCGUGUGUGUGGGUUUUUGUGAGCGUUAAGAGGGUUUGCGGACGGGUUAUUGUAGGGAAGGCUUUAAUACGCCACGGUUUCGUUUCGUCUGGCUAAAGCUCUAUAGCGCACCAUACACCGAGCAUUUGUAUAGCCAGUCAAUGCGGGGAGAAUACCCUAUAAGGACCUACAAUGCCCCCAUUUUCCAUGGGCUUUUAUGCCGAGACCUUCCUAUUGCUAAAGAGGAAAAGAACCCAUUCCUUUAUGCUGUUCUUUGCAAAACAUUGACAAAACCCCAAACCUUGCCUUUUCUCUACCCGACUGUAUGGGGUUAAGUAGCGUAGUUUAAUGUAUGGGUUUUUCAUUUCGAAUGAAGGAGCUCAGGCGAUAAGGUAAAAAAAAUAACGGUGUGGGAGAGCAGAAAAUGGGAGAAAAAUAUGGAAUUUGUGCCGUAAAAAGGAUCUUUAUCAAUAAAGAGAAGGGAAGUUUGGGAAAUCCGCUAGACAGAAGGAUGAGAAAUUCACCGAUCAAUAUAAGUGACGUUUAGCGUAGAUAUGAGGAAGAGGCGAACUUCUCCGGUGGGUUGAACGAGGCGCCGCCCGAUCCCACCGGGCUCGAGAUCCGAGGUGAAGCUCCAUCAAUACGAGACCAAAAACGGACCAGCCCUGUUCCCCCUUCAUUGCACUUCUUGGUUCAGACGAAAGCUCCCCGGUGAAUGAGGGAUGGGAACGUAUCCAUUUAGGCAUCGUUACGUAGGGUAUGGGGCGCCUUGGAAUGUCAGACAGAGCAUAGUGCAAAACUAACGGCCUCCGUGACCUCAGUAUA